AGCAGCCGCGGUAAUUCCAGCUCCAAUAGCGUAUAUUAAAGUUGUUGCAGUUAAAAAGCUCGUAGUUGAAUUUCGGGAUCAAUUGAUUGGUCAUGCCUACGGUAUGUACUAGUCAUAUUGGUUCUCACCUUCUAAUGAACCUUAAUGUCAUUCACUUGAUGUUUUGGGGAAUUAGGACUGUUACCUUGAAAAAAUUAGAGUGUUUAAAGCAGGCUUACGCUUGAAUACAUUAGCAUGGAAUAAUGAAAUAGGACAUCGCAUUCUAUUUUGUUGGUUUCUAGGAUCGAUGUAAUGAUUAAUAGGGAUAGUUGGGGGCAUUAGUAUUCAAUUGUCAGAGGUGAAAUUCUUGGAUUUAUUGAAGACUAACUACUGCGAAAGCAUUUGCCAAGGAUGUUUUCAUUAAUCAAGAACGAAAGUUAGGGGAUCGAAGACGAUCAGAUACCGUCGUAGUCUUAACCAUAAACUAUGCCGACUAGGGAUCGGAUGAUGUAAUUUUAAAUGA
rnacentral:ncRNA from 2 species